AGCGAACGCUGGCGGCAGGCCUAACACAUGCAAGUCGAGCGCCGUAGCAAUACGGAGCGGCAGACGGGAUAGUAACACGUGGGAACGUGCCCUUUGGUUCGGAAUAACUCAGGGAAACUUGAGCUAAUACCGGAUAAGCCCUUACGGGGAAAGAUUUAUUGCCAUUGGGGCGGCCCGCGUCGGAUUAGCUAGUUGGUGAGGUAAUGGCUCACCAAGGCGACGAUCCGUAGCUGGUCUGAGAGGAUGACCAGCAUCACUGGGACUGAGACACGGCCCAGACUCCUACGGGAGGCAGCAGUGGGGAAUAUUGGACAAUGGGCGCAAGCCUGAUCCAGCCAUGCCGCGUGGAUGAUGAAGGCCCUAGGGUUGUAAAGUCCUUUUAACGGGGAAGAUAAUGACGGUACCCGUAGAAUAAGCCCCGGCUAACUUCGUGCCAGCCGCCGCCGUAA
rnacentral:rRNA from 1 species